CUGCAGGGGGCGCUCAGGAGGCAGGAUGAGAGGACAUCAAAACGAGAAGAAGAGCGGUGAAUUCAGACGCCAAACUUCAGUGUUUGUUCCAGGUUUUAAUGUGAGGAAGGUACCUCUCCUCCUCCUCCUCCUCCUCCUCCUCCUCCUGCUUCUCC